rnacentral:rRNA from 1 species
AUACGUAGGGUGCAAGCGUUAAUCGGAAUUACUGGGCGUAAAGCGUGCGCAGGCGGUUUUGUAAGACAGAGGUGAAAUCCCCGGGCUCAACCUGGGAACUGCCUUUGUGACUGCAAGGCUAGAGUACGGCAGAGGGGGAUGGAAUUCCGCGUGUGGCAGUGAAAUGCGUAGAUAUGUGGAGGAACACCGAUGGCGAAGGCAAUCCCCUGGGCCUGUACUGACGCUCAUGCACGAAAGCGUGGGGAGCAAACAGGAUUAGAUACCCUGGUAGUCCACGCCCUAAACGAUGUCAACUGGUUGUUGGGUCUUCAUUGACUCAGUAACGAAGCUAACGCGUGAAGUUGACCGCCUGGGGAGUACGGCCGCAAGGUUGAAACUUAAAUGAAUUGGCGGGG